GUUUUCUUGAGCACAGAUGUACCAUAAGAAUCUAUCAUCUUUGUGGAAACUAAGGCAAAAUAGCCGUACGUGCUAAUACGUCCCUGUGCCCACAUGUGCCUUACAGUCUCACGCACCAAGACUCCUGGCCUUGAGGAGACCUGCAGUACCUCAAAGGGAUAUUUCACUGGAGCUCUCACCAAACUCCUAGAGGUCUCCUGAGGUUGAUGCUAGCAUCCAGCAAAGUUCAGCUUUGAAGCAGAACUCUCGUAGGUGUUCUGGUUACAAUAACGCCAGCGGGACCACAAGUUGACAGCGUCAGCUCGCACAGGACUUGUCAGGGCAUAGGAUUUUCUCACUGGGCUAGUGCUGCAAUAGGGAACUUACUCCGCAGUGCCGAAUCCUGUUUCGGAGAAUCUCCUCCACUGUCUUCUACAAAUUCCUACUGCUAUUCAAAUGUUUCGAAUAAAUGGCACUGAAUGGGGGAAAUUAGGAGUGCAUAAUCAUCCAUCACUAUAGUGCUUUCUAUGGUAACAAAAGUGCAACUUGCGACAGUCAU